rnacentral:tRNA from 1 species
GAGGGUAUAGCUGAGUGGUAGAACACGUACCUAGCAUGUACAAGGUCCUGGGUUCAAUCUCCAGUACCUCCA